UUACGGCCAUAUCACUUUGAAACACCAUUUCUCGUACGAUCGCCGAAGUUAAGCAAUGUCAAGCCUGGUCAGUACCUAGAUGGGUGACCGUCUGGGAAUACCAGAUGCUGUAAG